GGCACGGUGGCCAAAUGGUUAGCGGCGUUGGACUCCAGAUCGAGCAGGUCCUGGGUUCGAGCCCUGGCCAGGUUCACUGUGUUU